UUAGAAUCUUCUCUGGUGGUUCAUUUAUCACAAAGGUUGCCUUUUAUAGAGAACCCCGAUUGAAAGCUUGCAUGUUCUAUUGAUAAGAUGAAAUCCAGCUUUGCCGUGCGUCAAUUGUUAAGUCCCUUAGUGAAAAGUUUUUGUAGAUUGCCCACAGGAGGAUAAUAGGUCAAUAUAGUUCAUCAGUUUAGCUUUUAUUGUCUCUUUGUAGGGCAAAAUGAUAAUAGUGUUGUUCUAACUUCAUGAAAGUCUUUUUUCUAUUUUUGUAAAUAGUUUCUCUAGUUCUUUUGAGCUCUCUUUUGGCAGUGCAGUUAGUAAUUGGUACCUAUGUCAGGAAUUAGCUGCUUCUUACAGCUUGAAAUGUGAAUUUUGUUGGGGGGAUUUAAAAAAAUUAGUGUGUAUAAUACUUUUAUUAUUUUGCCCAUAUAUUUUACAUACUGAAUAAAUGGAAGAUAACCUUUUAGAUGUUGUCCAAUUUGGAACUAGGUUUUUAUUGGGGAGAGAUGCAUUUUCUGCAGAGUUGGGUUCUCUAAAAUCAGGAUAUGAGAUGCUAGCUUUUUUCAAUUUUGCAAUAUAAUGAAAGUCAUUUUUGCAGAAAUGUUUUCAAUGUUUCUUCAAUUUUAAAGACCCUCCUUUAAUACUUUAGUGAUCAAAAAAAAUUGAACUCAGUGUCAUCUUUGUUGUUUUCGAUGAUUAACUUAUAUGACUUUUUUAAGAUAGUUCAUGUGAUCCAAAGAAGUUUUGAGCACAUUUUUUUAAGCACUUUUUUAUUAACUUUAUGAAAUCGUGCAUAUUUUGGUAAUGUGGUUUAAUGUAGUUGAUUUGUGUUGUGUUUGGAUUACAUUGUCAGAUGUUUACAGAUCUAUAGCUAGCAAGAGACUAAAGGUAUGAUGAGCAGACAUAGACACUUGUGUUGAUUCUGAGGGUGGGAUGGUCAAGAUGGGAAGCACAUUUUACAGAUGAUCAUUUUAUUAAUGAGUACUUUUAUUUCUAAUUCUUGCUUCCUUGUGUAACCUGGAACUGCAGAGUCUCAAAUAAUGAAUUUUCCAGAUAACAUGGAGCUCUUAAACUUUAGGUAUCUAGAGGAAAAGGAAUUGGAAGCAUUCUUGAAAAUAAACUAAAUAUGUUACCAUUCUUCCAUGGGAAAGUAUAAAAACAAGAGUUUUUAACGUAUUUUUCAGUUUGCAUGGUUAAAUCUUACUCUUUAAUUUUGGAGUAUAGAAUUUAGAGACAUGCUGAAAGUUUGAACAAAGCAUAUGCUUGAAAUAAAAGAGUAGAUAUUGUGGGGAGCAGUUGUGAAUUGCCCCCCAAAUCCUCUACCAUUAUUAGCUGACAAAGUACUGGAUUGUUUCAAUUUAAUGAGACUAUUGUCAUGUUUUUCUGUAUGGGUGAGUGAAAUUAAUGUCAUGGGAUUAAUAUAAUGAACACAUUUUCUUUAACAUUUUGUGUUUUACACGAUUGUGUCUGAGAGAAAACACUGUGGUAGUGUUCUCAGAUACUUAUGUGUUCUUCGUCACAUAAUCUAGAAAAGUGAAAUAAAUAAUGGACUUUUGUAUUUUUCUUUCUUUGUUUUAUAUCUAGAAGUUUGUACCUUUUGACCUCCUUCAUCCAUUUUGCUUCAUAUCCACCUCCCCUUUCCCUAGGCAUCCACCAGUCAGUUUUCUGUAUUCGUUAGUUUGGAAAUACUUUGGUUUCAUUUUGUUUUAAAUUCAGUGUAUGAGAUCAUAUGAUAUUUAUCUUUUCCAUCUGACUUAUUUCAUUUAGCAUUAUGUCCUCUAGGUCCAUUCACAUUGUCACAAAUGACAAACUUUUGUUCAUUUUUAUAGCUGAAUAAUAUUCUGUUGUAUGUACAUAUAGCGUAUUUUUACCACCAUUCACCCGUUGAUAGCCAUUUAGGUUGUUUCCAUGCCUUGGCUAUUAUUAGUAAUGCUACAGUGCACUUGGGGUGCAUAUAUUUCCUCAAAUUAAUAUUUUCAUUUUCUUCAGAUAAUUAUCCAUACGUGAAGUUGCUGGGUCAUAUGGCAGUUCAACUUUUAACUUCUUGAGGAACUUCCAGACUUUUCCAUUUUGACUGUACCAUUUUACAUUCCCACCAACACUAUACAAAAGGUUCUCUUUUCUCCACAUCCUGGCCAACACUUAGUAGCGCCCCUUGACUUUUUGUUAAUAGCUAUUCUAACAGACGUGAGGCGAUAUCUCAGUGUGGUUUUGAUUUGCAUUUCCCUGAUUAUUUUUUUUUAAAAGAUUUAUUAAUUUAAAAGAGAGAUCAGGAUAUAGGCAGGGGGAGCAGCAAGCAAAGGGAGCGGGAGAAGCAGGCUCCCCACUGAGCAUGAAAUCUGAUGAGGGGCUAGUUCCUGAGAACCAUGGGAAUUAUGACCUGAGCCCUAGGCAGCCACUUAACUAACUGAGCCACCCAGGCAGCCCCUGAUGAUUAGUGAUCUUAAGUAUCUUUUCAUAUACCUGUUGGCUAUCUGUAUGUCUUCUUUGGAAAAAAAGCCAUUCGGGUCCUCUGCCUAUUUUUUAGUAAGAUUGUUUGGGGGUUUUCUUGCUUUUAAGUUAUAUGAGUUUUGUUUUUUUGUUAUUCUUUUAAGACUUAUUUAUUUGAGAGAGAGCACAGAAGAAAGCUUGAGCAGGAGGUUGGUGGUAGGAGGGGCAGAGGGAGAAGCAGACUCCCCGCUGAGCAGGGAACCUGACAUGGGGCUCGAUCGCAAGACCCCAGGAUCAUGAUCUGAGCUGAAGGCAGACACUUAACUGACUGAGCUACCCAGGCACCCUUAGUUAUGUGAGUUUUUGAAAUGUAUUUUAGAUAUUUACCCCUUAUCAGAUAGAGAUUUGAGAAUGUUUUCUCAUUCAGUGCAUUGCCUUUUUAUUUUGGUAAUGGUUUCUUUUGUUAUGCAGUACCAUUUUAUUAUUAUUUUUUUUAAUGCAGUACCUUUUGAGUUUGGUAUCCUUUACUUGGCGUUUCGUUUUGUUUUUUGUUUUAGUCAAAUUCAAAAUAUCAUGACUAAUAUAAAGGAGCUUACUGCCUAUGUUUUCUUCUAAGAGUUUGAUGGUCUUUUGAAAAUUUAUAUUACUCAAAUCUUUAAUCCAUUUUGAGUUAAUUUUUCUGUACAGUGUAAGGUAAUUGUCCAGUUUCCUUCUUCUGUAUGUAGUUGUUCAGUUUUCCCAACACUGUAUUGAAGAGACUGUCCUUGUAUAUUCUUGACUUCUUGUAAAUAAAUUAACCCUAUAUACAUGGGUGUUUUUCUGGGCUCGUAAUUGUGUUUCAUUUAUCUAUGUGUCUGUUUUUAUGCUGAUACCAUACUGUUAACGAUUGUUAGGGCUUUGUAAUGUAGUUUGAAAUCAAGAGUGUGAAGCCUCCAGCUUUUUUCUUUGUUCUUAAGAUUGCUUGGGCUAUUUAGGGUCUUUUGUGGUUUCAUACAGAUUUGGGGGUUGUUCUAUUUUUGUGAAAAGUACUGUUGGAAUUUUGAUGGGGGGUUGUGUUGAAUCUGUAGAGUGCUUUGAGUAGUAUCAACAUUUAAGCAAUAUUAGUUAUUCCAAUCUAUGAAUAUGGAAUAUCUUUCCAUUUAUUUGUGCCUUCAGUUUCUUUCAUUGAUAUCUAAAGUUUCCAGUAUACAGAUCAUUCACCUUCUUGAUUAGAUGUAUUUCUAUGUAUUUUAUUAAAGAUUUUAUUUAUUAUUUAUUUGACAGACAGAGAUCACAAGUAGGCAGAGAGGCAGGCACAGAGAGAGGAGGAAGCAGGUUCCCUGCUGAGCAGAGAACCCGAUGCAGGGCUCGAUCCCAGGACCCUGAGAUCAUGACCUGAGCCAAAGGCAGAGGCUUUAACCACUGAGCCACCCAGGCGCCCUGUAUUUUAUUUUUGAUGUACUUAAAAAUAGGAGUUUUUUUUAAAAAGAUUUAUUUAUUUGAGAGGGAGAGAAGUGUGCAUGUGGAAGGAGGGACAAAGGGAAAGAGAGAAUCCUCAAACAGGCUCUUUUGCUAAGUGCAGAGCCCAGUCAGGGCUUGAUUCCAGGACCCUGAGAUCAUGACCUACACCAAAAUCAAGAGUUGGUCAUUUAACCAAAUGAGCCACUCAGGCACCCUUGGGGUUGUUUCCUUAAUUUUUCUUCCUGGUAGUUUGUUUUUAAUGUACAAAAACACAACAAAUUUUGAUAUAUUGAUUUUGUAUCCUGCCACUUUACCGAAUUUGUUUAUUAUUCUAAUAGGUUUUUGUUGUUGUUGUUUUUUGUUUUGUGAAGUCUUUAGGGUUUUCUGUAUAUAGUAUAUCAUCUGCAAGUAGUGACAGUUUUACUUCUUCUUUUUCAAUUUGGAUGCUUUUAAUUUCUUGAUAAUUGCUCUGGACUUUUAAAAAAAUUAGUUAAAUUUCAUUUCAUUUUAAAGAUUCAUUUAUUUAUGAGAAAGAGAGCAGGAGGAGGAAAGGGAGAGGGAGAGAGAAUCCCAAGUGGACUCCUUGCUGAGAGCUCGAUCUCAUGACCCUGAGAUCAUGGCCUGAGUUAAAAUAAAGAAUUGUGCACUCAUCCGACUCUGCCACCCAGGCAUCCCUGAACUUGUAUUUUUAAUUACAAAGACAAGCAUAGGAAUGAUACCUGGUAAAGUGAUAUUUUGCCUAUGGUGGCUUGAGGAAGAAUCACUUGGAUUUAGUUGGGAAAAAAUCCAUGUUUUUUUUCUUUUUUUUUUUCAGGUGUUUCUUUUUUAAAAUUGUUAUAAAAUACAUAUAAAUUUUGCCAUUUUAACCAUUUUUAAAUGUAUAUACAGUUUGGUAGUAUUAAAUAUAUUCACAUAGUUGUACAGCCAGUCCCAGGACUUAUUCAUCUUAUAAAACUCCCAUUUCUCCCUUCCCCCUUCCUAGCACAACUACCAUUCAUUCUACUUUCAGUUUGCAUGAAGUAUUUUAGAUACUUCAUAUGAAUAGACUCUUACAGUAUUUUUCUUCCUGUGAAUGGCUUAUUUCACUUUGUGUAAUAUACUUAAAGGUUUAUCCAUGUUAUAGCAUGUAUCAGAAUUUCCUUUCUUUUAAAAAAAGAAUAUUUAUUUAUUUAUUUAUUUGAGAAAGAGGGAGCGAGAACAUGAGCUGGGGGAGGGGCAGAGGGAGAAGCAGACUCCCGGUGAGCGGGGAGCCUUAGGUAAAGCCUGAUUCCCGGCCUCCAGGAUCAUGAUCUGAGCUGAAGGCAGACACUUAAUCGACUGAUCCACCCAGAUGCCUCCAGAACUUCCUUUCUUUUUAAGGCUGAAUAAUAUUCCAUUGUUUGUAUAUACCAUCGUUUCAUUUACUCUUUCAUCUGUUGAGAGACUCUUGGGUUGCUUCCACCUUUUGAUCAUUGUGAAUAAGCUGCUUUGAAAGUAGAUGUGCAAAUAUCUAUUUGAAUUGUCAUUUUACCCAGAAAUGCAAUUGCUGCAUCAUAUGGUAGUUCUAUUUUAAAAUAGAGUGUCAUGCUGUUUUUUAUAGUGGGUGCACCAUUUUACAUUCCCACCAGCAGUGCACAAGGGUUCCAGUAUUCCCACAGCCUUGCCAACACCUAUUAUUUUGUUUGAUUGUUUUUGGUAUAACCAUCCUACUGGGGAUAUGGGGUGUUAAAUGUUAGAUUUUCAUUUUUUUCUUUAUUAUAUUGAGUAUUAAGCAAUAAAAAGCUUAAAACUUAUCAGUGGGAAAGGAAGAGAAAAAAUUUACAUUUCAUCUUAUUCUAUAUUCAUUCUCUAUGGUUGCUGUAACAAAUUAUUGCCAAUUUCAGACAGUAUAAAUUUAUCAUCUUACAGUCUAUAGGCUAGAAGUCUGACAUGGACUCACUAGGUUAAAAUCAAGGUGUUAGGCAGGCUUUGUUCCUUUUUUAAGGUGCUAGGGGAGAAUCUGUUUCCUUACUUCUUCCAAAUUUUAGAACUCUGCCUGCCCCCCUCCCACCCCAGUUGCACCAUCCUCUGUCUUCAAAGCCAGCAGUUUUGGGUGGAGUCUCUCUUAUGCUUCUGUCCUCUGAUUCUCAGAUUCAAAACUAAUGACAACUUGGAUGAUUGGAUUGGACUCUCCCAGACAAUCCAGGAUUCCAGGAUAGUGUCUCUGUGUUAGGCUUCUUUAUUUAAAUACAUUUGUUUAGUCCUUUGCCAUUUAAGAUAACAUAUUAAUAGGUUUUGGGCAGUAAGGCAUGAGCAUCUUUGAGGAGGAAGCCAUUAUAUUGCCUACUGUAUCUGCUUCAUGGUUAAUUAACCACCUUAUUACAAAAAGGUAUUACUGGCUAAUCUAACAAGAAGAUAUAACAUUAUAAAUAUUUAUGCACCCAAUAUAGGAGCACCAAGUAUAUAAAGGAAAUAUUAAUACAGUAAUAGUAUGGGACUUUAAGACCUUAUUUACAUAAUUGGAUAGGUCAUUGAGACAAAUUCAAUAAGGAAACAUCAGCCUUAACACAUUAGACUGGAUGGACUUGAACAGAUAAUUUGUAGAAUAUUCCAUUUAAAAACAAAAGGGUAUACUAAUUCUUCUCAAGUGCACAUGGAACAUUUUCAAAGAUAGAUUAUAUGUUAGGCCAUCAAACAAGUCUUAAUAAAUUUAAGAGAAUUGGAAUUGUGUUACACAUAUAAUUUCUGACUACAGUGACAUGAAACUAGAAAUUAAUUACAGGAAGAAAACUGGAAAAUUGACAGUUGUGUCAAGAUUAAACAGCAUUGCUACUGAAUAAUUAAUGGGUCAAAGAAAAAAAACAAAAGAGAAAUCAAGAGUUACCUUGAAAUAAAAGUGGAGAUGUAACAUACUAAAAUGUAUUAGAUGCAGCAAAAACAGUUUUAAGAGGAAAGUUCUUAGUAAUUAAUGACUACCUCAAGAAACAAGAAAAAUCUCAACAUAACUUACUCCUCAAGAAACUAGAAAAAGAACAAAUGAAGCCCAGAAUUUUAGAAGGAGAGGAAAAACAAAGAUUAGAACAAAAAUAAAUUAGAGACUUAAAAAGACGAUAGAAAAAAAAUCAAUGAAACUAAGACCUGGUUCUUUGAAAAGAUAAAAUUUGAUAAACCUUUAGGUUCACCAAUGUAGAAUUUUCUCUUGAAUUCCAGGCUCAUUUCCAACAAUCUAAUAAAUCUCUCUUGCUUUUAUAUAUUCCCAUUCAAAGUCUGCUUCUGUUUUUCUUAUUCUGUGGGGAUUUAGUCACCUGAAUCAGUUAUGCUAGAGAGUUAAACUCUCCCUUCUCAUUUUCUUGGUUGUCAUUAUUAUUUUUAAAGGUUUUUCCUUUUAGUAAUCAUUGGUUUUUUUCCUAUAAAGGAAACCUAAGUUUUCAUUGCUUCUACUUAGGUAUUCCUACAUAAUUUGCCAUUUGAAUUCUUUCAGCAACCUUCUAACCUUCAUUUCAUUAUCUAGCUGAUUCUCUGGGUGCCACCAGAAUCAGUGGCUUAUUUAAAAAUGAAUAUCAGACCAUGUUACUGUCUUACUUCAAUUCUUAAGAAUUGUCUGGUAUUUAUGAGAUAAAAUGAAUAUAUUUUAGAAUGGCAUGUGGAGUUUUUCAUAAUCUGCCACUUACUAGACUCUUCAGUCUCAUCUCUUCAAGUUUAUAUUUCAUUAGUAUAACCUACUUGUAGUUUCAUUCUGUACUAUUCUCUGCAAAAUCUAUAAUUUAGACUUCAGUAGUGUCUGCAGGUAUGAUCUUCCUUCUUUAUCUACUGAAAGAUUUUAAAAGUAAGCAUAGUUGUGCCUCUGCAAAAUUUUUUCUGACAACUUUUGAGAGAAUUAUCUUAAACAAACAUCACAAACUUCUGGGUUCUCAUAUGCAGUGUUCUAAUGUUCUUCUUCAGUCUGUAUCUACUGCUUCUCUAGGCAAUUUUUGUUUGUUUGGUUCUGUGACUUAUAUCUUCGUCAUAUUAUCUUAGUCAAUAUUUGUCUCACCUUUGUGAAACAACAACAAAACAUUUUCCCUUAGACAUUUGAGGCUUUGUGAAGUUUUAAAGACUGGGUUAUAUUAAUUAUUUAUUCUCUAGUAUGUGAUAGAAAAUGUUUUAUUAUAUAGAACUUCAUAAAAUUAAAAUGUUACUUCACUGAGACUUGUUUAAAGAAUUUAAUGAAGGUUUAAGAACCAAGGAAAUACUGUGUAUUAAUUAAUAGCCAUAAGUGUUGAAUGUUAAACAUAUAUCCUAAUUUGAUACAUUUUGGAGAGGAUCUUAGGACUUAAUGGUGGUGGUUCUUCUGGGUGUGUUCAUAUAAUAUUACAGAAAAUCUUGAAAUUGGUGCUUUCUGAUAAGGAAAUGAGAUUAUCAUCAAUACAAAGAAAAAUACUUUUAAGAAAACACUUAAGCCAAUAAAUUUAAAAAAAAAAACAUAUUAGGUGCAGUGGGAUGAAUUUUAUGUGACCAGAGAAAUUCAGAAAGCUUUAAGAGUUAGAGAAAUAAUACUAAGCGUAUUGUCUCCGUUAAAGAAAAAAGAGAACAGGUAGGACAAAGAUACAACGUAAAAAUCUUGUUGUAAAUUUUGGAAACUUUUAAGGCAAAUUGGAAAGACAGAAUAGUCAUUUAAAUAUCUUAAAGAUUUGUUUAUUUAUUUAUUUGAGAGAGAGAGAGAGAGAGAGUGCGAGCCCAUAGCAGAGGGAGAAGGAGAAAGAGAAUCUCAAGCAGACUCCCUGCUGAGUGCAGAGCCUGACGUGGGGCUCAAUCCCAUGACCCUGAGAUCUUGACCUGAGCUGAAAUCAAGAGUUGGGUGCUUGACUGAGGGGCAGAGAAAGAGGGAGAGAGAGAAUCUCAAUCAGGUUCCACAUGCAGCACAGAGCCCACUGUGGGGCUUGAUUUUCAGGACUCUGAGAUCAUGACCUUAGCCAAAAUCUCAACCUCCUGAUCCAUCCAGGUGCCCCUAUAGGUUACUUUUGUAGUCCAUUUGAAAUCUAACAUAUAUUUGGCUGGUUUUCAUUGUUCUGUUUCAGGUUAUGAUUUUACUCUAAUACUUUUUAGGUUAUUUAACAAUUUAUUUACCAGUUUUUCUUACUAGACUAUAAUCUCAUUUGGAGUAGUAGGAGUUGGGUUUUAUUCAUCUUUAUUUCAUUGACACUUAGCUUGUCAUCUACUCGAUCUCCAUAAAUGUUACAUCAUUGUCAGUUCCUACACAGUCCUAGAGGAGGUUUAAUAUAUUCUUGGUAAUAUGUUCAUUUUCCUUGGGAAUUAAACUUUGCAUUAGGCAGUUCUUGUUUCUCUCAGAGUAGUAACUUUUUCUUUGCUGCAGUAAGGGAAUUUGCUCGUGCAUUUGUCUUGGCAAUUCUCAU